rnacentral:rRNA from 1 species
AGAGUUUGAUCCUGGCUCAGAUUGAACGCUGGCGGCAGGCCUAACACAUGCAAGUCGAACGGUAACAGGAAGCAGCUUGCUGCUUCGCUGACGAGUGGCGGACGGGUGAGUAAUGUCUGGGAAACUGCCUGAUGGAGGGGGAUAACUACUGGAAACGGUAGCUAAUACCGCAUAACGUCGCAAGACCAAAGAGGGGGACCUUCGGGCCUCUUGCCAUCGGGAUGUGCCCAGAUGGGAUUAGCUAGUAGGUGGGGUAACGGCUCACCUAGGCGACGAUCCCUAGCUGGUCUGAGAGGAUGACCAGCCACACUGGAACUGAGACACGGUCCAGACUCCUACGGGAGGCAGCAGUGGGGAAUAUUGCACAAUGGGCGCAAGCCUGAUGCAGCCAUGCCGCGUGUAUGAAGAAGGCCUUCGGGUUGUAAAGUACUUUCAGCGGGGAGGAAGGGAGUAAAGUUAAUACCUUUACUCAUUGACGUUACCCGCAGAAGAAGCACCGGCUAACUCCGUGCCAGCAGCCGCGGUAAUACGGAGGGUGCAAGCGUUAAUCGGAAUUACUGGGCGUAAAGCGCACGCAGGCGGUUUGUUAAGUCAGAUGUGAAAUCCCCGGGCUCAACCUGGGAACUGCAUCUGAUACUGGCAAGCUUGAGUCUCGUAGAGGGGGGUAGAAUUCCAGGUGUAGCGGUGAAAUGCGUAGAGAUCUGGAGGAAUACCGGUGGCGAAGGCGGCCCCCUGGACGAAGACUGACGCUCAGGUGCGAAAGCGUGGGGAUCAAAGGGGAUUAGAUACCCUGGUAGUCCACGCCGUAACCGUUUAAGGCUUGGAGGUUGUGCCCUUGAGGCGUGGCUUCCGGAGCUAACGCGUUAAGUCGACCGCCUGGGGAGUACGGCCGCAAGGUUAAAACUCAAAUGAAUUGACGGGGGCCCGCACAAGCGGUGGAGCAUGUGGUUUAAUUCGAUGCAACGCGAAGAACCUUACCUGGUCUUGACAUCCACGGAAGUUUUCAGAGAUGAGAAUGUGCCUUCGGGAACCGUGAGACAGGUGCUGCAUGGCUGUCGUCAGCUCGUGUUGUGAAAUGUUGGGUUAAGUCCCGCAACGAGCGCAACCCUUAUCCUUUGUUGCCAGCGGUCCGGCCGGGAACUCAAAGGAGACUGCCAGUGAUAAACUGGAGGAAGGUGGGGAUGACGUCAAGUCAUCAUGGCCCUUACGACCAGGGCUACACACGUGCUACAAUGGCGCAUACAAAGAGAAGCGACCUCGCGAGAGCAAGCGGACCUCAUAAAGUGCGUCGUAGUCCGGAUUGGAGUCUG